rnacentral:rRNA from 1 species
UACGUAGGUGGCGAGCGUUAUCCGGAAUUAUUGGGCGUAAAGCGCGCGCAGGCGGUUUCUUAAGUCUGAUGUGAAAGCCCACGGCUCAACCGUGGAGGGUCAUUGGAAACUGGGAGACUUGAGUGCAGAAGAGAAGAGUGGAAUUCCACGUGUAGCGGUGAAAUGCGUAGAGAUGUGGAGGAACACCAGUGGCGAAGGCGACUCUUUGGUCUGUAACUGACGCUGAGGCGCGAAGGCGUGGGGAGCAAACAGG